rnacentral:rRNA from 1 species
GUUUGAUCCUGGCUCAGAUUGAACGCUGGCGGCAUGCCUUACACAUGCAAGUCGAACGGCAGCAUGGGUGCUUGCACCUGAUGGCGAGUGGCGAACGGGUGAGUAAUGCAUCGGAACGUACCCGGAAGUGGGGGAUAACGUAGCGAAAGUUACGCUAAUACCGCAUAUUCUGUGAGCAGGAAAGCGGGGGAUCGCAAGACCUCGCGCUUCCGGAGCGGCCGAUGUCGGAUUAGCUAGUUGGCGGGGUAAAGGCCCACCAAGGCAACGAUCCGGUAGCGGGUCUGAGAGGAUGAUCCGCCACACUGGGACUGAGACACGGCCCAGACUCCUACGGGAGGCAGCAGUGGGGAAUUUUGGACAAUGGGGGCAACCCUGAUCCAGCCAUGCCGCGUGAGUGAAGAAGGCC